UACGGAGGGACCAAGCGUUGUUCGGAUUUACUGGGCGUAAAGGGCGCGUAGGCGGCAAUUCAAGUCAGCUGUGAAAUCUCCGGGCUUAACUCGGAACGGUCAGCUGAUACUGCUUUGCUAGAGUGCAGAAGGGGCAAUCGGAAUUCUUGGUGUAGCGGUAAAAUGCGUAGAUAUCAAGAGGAACACCUGAGGUGAAGACGGGUUGCUGGGCUGACACUGACGCUGAGGCGCGAAAGCUAGGGGAGCAAACAGG
rnacentral:rRNA from 1 species